rnacentral:lncRNA from 1 species
CCGAAAGGAAUUUGUUUACUACAUUGAAAAAGGCAAGAAAUAACUUUUAAAUAUUAUUAAAUUGUAAGUAAACAUGACACAAUAUAGUCUUUGUUAUGUAAUUAUCACUCUGGUCUACAGGAAUACCUGAUAAUCAAGGGAGAUAACACACUUCAUACGAGUAAAGUGAGAUACAUCAUCGCAUGUGCUUUUAUCCAAUGAUUUGACCCCUGGUCAGUAGAUAUCAUAUGCAUAAAAAACAGAAAAAACAUUUACAUGUUUUAAGAAAAUCAUGAAUUAUUAUUUUUAAUGCACAUGAGCAAAACAAAAAGAUAUUGUCAUUUCUCAGCACUGAAAAAGGGGGAGGGUCAAACCUUUUUUGAAAACAAUAUUUCUGCACCUAUUCAACUAUUAAGCUAGUUAGCUACUACCCAUUGCUUCUAAUAUAAAAGGUUUAAAUGAAGGUGGCUAAGCCACAAGGGAGAAGCAUUUGUCUUUCUUUGUGAUUAAACUUUCAAGAAUAGAUUUUUCUCUCUCAAUAAUACUUAUGUAUUUAAAUCAAAUGAUAACACAGCCUGAGUAUUUUUUUUGUCUUAUUUCAGUUCCAGACAUAUCAUUACUUUUCAACCUGAGAUGGCAAACUAGAGGUUUUAAAAAGUCCUGAAUAACUGGUAAGCAUUUUGUUUUAUUAGGCAAGCUCUAAAUUGUUUAUUUAUGGUAUUUAUGCAAUUGAAAUUACAGUCGGUAUGUUAAAAAUAUGCUAAUAUGAAAACUGUUGCUAUGGUCUUGGUAUUAAAUGAAAAGGCUUAGUUACAGAUCGUUUUCGACUCAAUAUUUCGAGUUAAAUCUUGCGGCAACUGUUUCUCAUGUAACACUGCAAACUAUAUUUAGCACUAUUUUGAUCUGUCGUUAUUUAAUGACGCCAUUAAUACAUGUGAUGUCACAAUGUUUCCGUUAAGACCUCUUGUGGAUUUCUCACUGAUAAAAGGUUUUCACUGAAAUACAUGUAAAAAACAUUUUUUUCUCAAAUAGAAUUAUGUGAAAGGACAAGUUUUGAAAAUUUGCACUAUAUUGCACUCUAAUUAUAUGAUAUGGAUGACUUUCCCAGUAGUUUAGAGUGGUUUUAAACAGUAUUAAAUACCAGAUUUCCACUAGUAAGAAUAAUUAUUUUGGUGUUGUUUUUUUUUUAUAAACCUUCAUUUUUGCAUAAUUUCUCUGUCAAAAUGCACUUUAAGGCACAAGAAAAUUUUAUGUAGAAUGCUUUAACAGGGUCUGUGUAUUGUAAUUAAAGGUUAUAAUCAGAAGUUUUGUCCUUGUUUUGACUAGUGAAGGUAUUCUGGAAGAAAUUACUUAUACAUACUCAUUGUAUUCAAAAUAAAUGAAUAUAGCGACGAAAGUGUCAUUGCCUUAUAGUGCUAAAACAACUUUAUUUUUUUUCAGAAAUGGACAAAAAUACACAGAUUUAUUCAGAAUGUUAUACCGAUGAAGAUCACAUAAAAAUAUUUGGAAAAAUCAGAAGUAUGGAUUUCAAUAUGGGACAAGAUCCCUAAUGCGCCUUGAAAUGAGGAACUCAAAAGUCACGUGUAAACAAAAAUUCUCUGUGUAGUGAUAUUUGACACUUUUCUAUGAUAAACAAGUGACUGAGCUUAACCAUUUGAGUUAAUUUAGAAAGUAGGGGAACACAGAAUAAAUGUGUAAAAUCUAUGGAGCUAUUAAAUGUGUUCAAAGUAUUAAAUUUUCAAAGAACUUUUUGUGUUAAAAAUGGGAUUAUUUACCAUGAGGAGCCGCAUCACAAAAGGAUACUCGGGGUUUGCUAAUUUACGGAAAAAGUAAUCUCACUUCGUACCCCGAAAAUUUAACCACAUAUGUCAAAAUGUCUCAGCUUCGAAACGAA